GAGUGCUGGAAUCACAGGCAUGCACCACCAUGCCUGGCUUACUCAUUUUAUUUUUGAUGGCAGGUCCCCAUUUACAGGUGAGAGGACAAGGCCACACAGCUAAGCAGUGACAAGUGUGAGUCAAGUGGUUCUCCCAUGUUAUUGCAGGUUUCCGGGGCACGGCCUCAGUUCUCACUGUCUGGGUCACAGCCAAGCAGCACCAAAGCCCAGCAGCCACUCUGAAACCACUGGUGUUAGCAGGCCCCAUCUGAACCUCGGGGAGAUUUGGGGUCUUGAGGAAUGUGUCCCAUGUCCUUGGCCCGGCUGCUGUGGUUACUAACUGGUUCUCCAGCCAGGAUUUGAAUGAUAAGGCAACCCUUGCAGCUCACCAUUCCCAGGAGAAACCUGUCUGUCUCUGUUCCUUUCUCUGGAUGUGGCCAAGUGUGCAUGUGCGUGUGUGGGUGCGCACACGUGUGUCAGUGCAUCUCAUACGGGACACUCAUCUACACUCGAUCCAGAUGAAGCCGCCCACCCCAAGGCCUCACCUACGUCAUCCUGGGCCAGCCUCUGGCGCCUCGAGCCGUCCAGCCUGGCCAUCUCCACCACAGAACGCUGGGCGUCGCACCAGUACAAAGUGUCCAUCAGGAAGUCAACAGCGAGUCCGCUGGGCUCCACCAGCUCUGAGCUGGCCACAACCCACCGGCCGGAACCCUGCAGGGAGGCACUUUCCACUCGUGGAUUCGUCCCCACCUCGGUCCAGAACAAUCUCCUUCAAUCAAGAAAUCACACAAUGAAUAGCACUGUCCUGAAAAAGAAAAAUCCUUCCAUUCCUUCCUCAUGGAAAAUAUCGCUGUAAAUCACCUCGGCAUAUGCCAAGGUGGUACACUGAGGAAUUUAAAGGAGAAAACAGCACUGCGUGUCGGACUAAUCAUUCUCAAAAGCAAAACAGUCAACUUUUCCAUAGACGGCAUGUUGGACAAGAAACGCUGAAUGAAAGCUCAGACCAUUAGAUUUUAAAAAGGAAUUUGUUUUCUAAAAUGUAGCAUAUUACUAAUCAAAAGUGUGCCUAAGUGAACAGUCUUAACCUAGCUGCAAAUGCAGUGACUCCUGCUGGACUGUUCUGUCACCGGCAUUAAAACCACAACCUGCGUGGAGGAGCACACCUGCCUGUUAGCUACUUUCCUAAAUGCAUUGAAUUUCCUCAGCAAAUUUUAAGUCCCAUAAACCAGGAACAGAGGAAGGCGAGCAGGAGGGGAGCAGACAGGAGAAGAGAGGAUGCGAUUGUCUCCGGGCACAUGAAGGUGAGCACCAACAAUGAGGAAUCAAGGGCAAGUGCAACCCCGGGGCAGAGUGGGUACCCGGCUGGGCAGGGUCAGAGGAGGAGUCCGAGAAGUAAUGACGAGCAGGACAGGGGGCAGGCAGGCGAGGUGGGGAGGUACCGAGCACCCAAGGGAGCACUCUGAAACGUGCAAGUUCAGAGUCCCAGGAUCCAGAAAGAACGGGGGCGGGGGUGUCAGCAGUCACUGCGUUGAGAAAGCUGUGUGUGACUGUAAGGCAGAGAGCAAGGCAGGGGGAGGCAACAGUGCUGACAGCAAGCACAGGCUGCCAGGAUGGAGAAGGCUAACGGACUCAGACGCUACACGAGAAGGCCGCAGCCCUGCCCCUGCAGGAGCUAACCAGGCUUCUGAGCAGCUCCGGGAGGCAGGGCCACAGGCCAGCACUCACCUUGUUUCUCCAGAGCAAACUGGACCUCAUAACAACCUUGCAUCCAUUCAGCAAGCAUCUGUCAAAGUCCAGCCGCCACUCCCUCACGGGCAAUGAGGGCACG